rnacentral:piRNA from 1 species
AGCUACCCGAGUGUUUCUGAAUUGGCC